rnacentral:rRNA from 1 species
UCCUACGGGAGGCAGCAGUCGGGAAUUUUGGGCAAUGGGCGAAAGCCUGACCCAGCAACGCCGCGUGAAGGAUGAAGUCCUUCGGGAUGUAAACUUCGUAAGAAUGGGAAGAAUCAAUGACGGUACCAUUUGUAAGGUCCGGCUAACUACGUGCCAGCAGCCGCGGUAAUACGUAGGGACCAAGCGUUGUUCGGAUUUACUGGGCGUAAAGGGAGCGUAGGCGGCGCAUCAAGUCAGCUGUGAAAUCUUAAGGCUUAACCUUAAGCGGUCAGCUGAUACUGUUGUGCUAGAGUGCAGAAGGGGCAAUCGGAAUUCUUGGUGUAGCGGUGAAAUGCGUAGAUAUCAAGAGGAACACCUGAGGCGAAGGCGGGUUGCUGGGCUGACACUGACGCUGAGGCUCGAAAGCCAGGGGAGCAAACGGGAUUAGAUACCCCGGUAGUCCUGGCCCUAAACGAUGAAUACUUGGUGUCUGGAGUUUUAAUUCUCCGGGUGCCGUCGCUAACGUUUUAAGUAUUCCGCCUGGGGAGUACGUACGCAAGUAUGAAACUCAAAGGAAUUGACGG